AUUUAAUUUUAAGUAAAAGAAAGAAAGAAUAAAAGCCACUUCAUAUUUUCUUCUUCCUCUCUUGCCUGUACGACUCUUUCUUCUUAUUCUUUCUCAUUUUUUCGUCACCACCACCACCAACUUCCGGUCACCAUAACUUUUCCGUCCGGCCUCCUUUAAAAUCCCCACCACCACCAUUGAAUUCCUCUCUUCUUUCUCUACAAAAGCCCUCAAUUUAUUUUUAGAUUGAAGAAGUUUAAUUUUUGAGAUCUCCCCCUUCUCUCUUGUUUUCCGGCCACCGUGAGUUGCCAUUGGGAAAACCAAACCCACCAUAUUCUUCCUCGUGAUGUCAGCAACAAAACCCCUAUGUUUAUUUUGCAAUAGUAGCAACUUUGUCGGCGACCACCGUGCCGGAGUUCACCUCUGCCGCGCCGGAAAAGUGGUUGACGGCCAUUUACUCCAUUUUUCUCCUUCUUGUUGAGUUUCAUCUUCCUUCCCUCCUCUAAAGUGUAUUGUAGGAGUUUUGUAUACGCAUUUUCGGAUUUUUGAACCAGGACAUUAUUUAAACAUGUUUUUGGCGAUUUAUUCUCCGUUUUGAUGUUCACGGAUGAAGGGUGGGUGUUACCUGUGGAGUAGUUGAGACCGUGACCCAUUGAGAGAUUAGGGAUUUUAUACACUUAGUGAGUAAGAUUAGAGAAAGAUUAGGGUCCAUGAUAGAUUAGAUAUUAAGGAAUUUAAGUCCUGGGUUCAGUGAUUAAUUUUGAGAGAUUUGGGAUUUUAGGGUUUGAGUUCAGUGAUUAACUGUACCAUUUCUCUAUCAGUUUUUAAUAUUUAUUUUCAUCUAAUUUUAUAACUUCACAUCUCUCUAUUAUUUGUUUCAUUCUCAGGUGAAGUACUAAAGAGGGCUUAAAAUCAUAUCUCUCUAAUGCAUAUGGUGGAUAAAUAAAAAUAUUAUGACUAACUUGUUUACUGAUGUGAUGUGGUGAAACUAACUCCAAGGCGUAUUGUGAUUCUAAUGCAUACAUACUGUGAUUCUAAUAGAUACAAUGGAUAGCAAAGGAAGGUGACACACUGGUUCCAGUUAUACACAAUAGGUGGGAUGGGAUGAGUUACACAAUAGUUGAUUUGUUAAAAUUGCUCUUGGAACAAUUGGAUAAUUAUGUUAAUUGAAUUGGAAUGCAAACUGAAUAUAUUGGAAUGUAAUAGCAGGAAAGUGCCAAUGUCGAUGGAAUAUUUGUGGCUGGAAGCUCCUAUUUGUGUAGGCCUAAUUGUUAUUGUAUUGUACUCCUUUUGACCUUUGUUUGCAAAUAGUAUUUUCACUUUAGCGUAUUAUUUACAAUAGCUAUUAGUUCCAUUUAGUUACUUUACUUUUUUAUUAUGAGCCAGUUUUUUUUUUCUUCCAGUUAUGAAUUUGAAGACUUCUAAAUUUUAACUAUACUUUCAAAUAUCAAAUUGCAGUGAGGGAGGACUUGUGAGCUUCGAAGAAAAAUUUCAACAAAACAUAAGAUGAUUUGAAGUUUCUUCUAAGUGUUGGAAAUAUAAUUGACGUUGUUCUCAAGCCUCUCGACAAUGAUGGUUUAUAAGGAAAUUGAGAUGUAGUUUGCAUCCAAGAUGGAGCAUACUUUUCAUUUUCUGCGGUGGUUAUGGUUGAAUCCUUGAUGAGGAGCAAGCUAUGAAGAGGAAAAACAAGUUUUCAUGGGUUACUUGUAUUUUAGUCUGUUUUGUGCUGCUGGGUGUUUAGUCUGUUUCGUGCUGCUGUUUGGGUUCAUUAGGGGUGGUGUGACUCUGUUUUAGCAGGUUUGACAGGCUGCUGUGUUUGGGGGCGUUGGCAGGUGCUGCUGUUGGUGUUGGGUUGCUGUCGUGGCUCCUUGCUUCUGUGCAGCUGCUGAUUUUUCGUUGGCUUUCCCCUCCUAGCCUUUGCGGGUGGCAGAUUGUGAGGCGGAGGUAUUCUAGGGGUGGUAGUACCUUCGUACAUUGCUUGGUGUGUUUUUGUUUUUGGCAGCCUUCAAUAUACCUUGGCCUCAUUUUUUCUAGGAGUUUAGGCGUGUAGCCUUGGUUGGGCAUUUAUGUAUUUCUGUUCCUUUCCGUGAGUUGUUGGUGUUUCUUUCACCCUCUCGACGAAGAAUAAAAUUAGCUGUUAAAAAAAAAAAAGGAUACUUUUAUUUUAUCAUAAGUAGAAAUAUUUGUAGUGGUUAAUAUUUAAUUGAGCUGGAAAUAAUUGUACAUUAAUGUUAUUUUUUAAUUGAGCUGGAAAUAUUGUACAUUAA